ACUAAUCUCUCUCCUCUUCUUGUCCUGAAACGCAGACACGCUCAAUUUCUCCCUCUCUUCGCUCUCUCUCUCUCUUAGUCGUCUCUCAUCGCCGGUUCUCGCCGCCUCCGGUGCGGCGAGGCCGGCUCUAUCUCUUCUCUCUCCUUCUUUUCUCUUCCCACUUCCCUAUGUCUAAAUCCCCAAAUUAUAGAAUCUAAUUCCUAGGGUUUCUACCGCCCUUCUUCCCCUCUGGAAUUCAUCUCUCCGACGAAGCCUGCCGCCACCGCCGUCGUCCCCGUCGCACCGCGGCCUCCUCUGACUCAGGAAUCGGUGAUUCGAGAAGGUUUGAAAUGGUUUCAUCGUGGCAACCCAAGACUCCAUUUUUUUUAAAGACUCAGCCUUCUAUUAUUGAAUUUUCUGAUUUAUAAACUCUGUGAAUAGAUGUAUACUGUAGAUGUUAAAGAAAAUUGAUGUUAUCUUGAUUACUAUGUAUGAGUGGAUUAUUGAGUAGUAGGAAGAAUAGUACCUGCAUUGCGUGGUGUGAUAA